AUUGAACGCUGGCGGCAGGCCUAACACAUGCAAGUCGAGCGCGCCGCGGGCGGGUGUGUCAUGUAUGGGGCUCUGUCAGAGAGAGGGGGAUCACUUCUGGAAACGGUGGCUAAUACCGCAUACUAUCGGAUGAACCCAUAUGGGAUGAGCUAGUAGGUGGGGUAAAGGCUCACCUAGGCGACGAUCUCUAGCUGGUCUGAGAGGAUGAUCAGCCACACUGGAACUGAGACACGGCCCAGACUCCGACGGGAGGCAGCAGUGGGGAAUAUUGCACAAUGGGCGCAAGCCUGAUGCAGCCAUGCCGCGUGUGUGAAGAAGGCCUUAGGGUUGUAAAGUACUUUCAGCGGGGAGGCGUUACCCGCAGAAGAAGCACCGGCUAACUCCGUGCCAGCCGCCGCGGUAAUUC
rnacentral:rRNA from 1 species